UACGAAGGGGGCUAGCGUUGCUCGGAAUCACUGGGCGUAAAGGGUGCGUAGGCGGGUCUUUUAAGUCAGGGGUGAAAUCCUGGAGCUCAACUCCAGAACUGCCUUUGAUACUGAAGAUCUUGAGUCCGGGAGAGGUGAGUGGAACUGCGAGUGUAGAGGUGAAAUUCGUAGAUAUUCGCAAGAACACCAGUGGCGAAGGCGACUCACUGGCCCGGUACUGACGCUGAGGCACGAAAGCGAUGGGGAGCAAACAGG
rnacentral:rRNA from 1 species